rnacentral:tRNA from 1 species
GGCGGCGUAGCUCAAUUGGCAAGAGCGUACGGUUCAUACCCGUGAGGUUAAGGGUUCAAUCCCCUUCGCCGCUACCA